AUUGAACGCUGGCGGCAGGCCUAACACAUGCAAGUCGAGCGAGCGGCGGACGGGUGUGUAAUGUUUGGGGAAUGCCCGAUAGCGGGGGAUAACUACUGGAAACGGUAGCUAAUACCGCAUACUCUCGAAUAAUCCAUAUGGGAUUAGCUAGAAGGUGAGGUAAUGGCUCACCUCGGCGACGAUCCCUAGCGGGUCUGAGAGGAUGAUCAGCAAAACGGGGAUGGGGCCACGGCCAAGACUCCUACGGAGGAAGAAGUGGGGAAUAUUGGACAAUGGGCGCAAGCCGGAUGCAGCCAGGCCGCGUGUAUGAAGAAGGCCCUAGGGUUGUAAAGUACUUGCAGUGGGGAGGCGUUACCGGCAGAAGAAGCACCGGCUAACUCCGUGCCAGCCGCCGCGGUAAUUC
rnacentral:rRNA from 1 species